rnacentral:rRNA from 1 species
UACGUAGGGUGCGAGCGUUAAUCGGAAUUACUGGGCGUAAAGCGUGCGCAGGCGGUUAUAUAAGACAGUUGUGAAAUCCCCGGGCUCAACCUGGGAAUUGCAUCUGUGACUGUAUAGCUAGAGUACGGUAGAGGGGGAUGGAAUUCCGCGUGUAGCAGUGAAAUGCGUAGAUAUGCGGAGGAACACCGAUGGCGAAGGCAAUCCCCUGGACCUGUACUGACGCUCAUGCACGAAAGCGUGGG